UACAGAGGUCUCAAGCGUUGUUCGGAUUCAUUGGGCGUAAAGGGUGCGUAGGAGGGCAGGUAAGUCAGUGGUGAAAUCUUCGAGCUUAACUCGGAAACUGCCGUUGAUACUAUCUGUCUUGAAUCCCGUGGAGAUGAGCGGAAUAUGUCAUGUAGCGGUGAAAUGCUUAGAUAUGACAUAGAACACCGAUAGCGAAGGCAGCUUGCUACACAAUUAUUGACACUGAGGCUCGAAAGCGUGGGGAUCAAACAGG
rnacentral:rRNA from 1 species